UCACCUAUCAUUUCGAGCUAUAAAAGACGACUCUCCGUCAAGGUGGUCAUUGAGGGGCAGGAACGUGAACUGACGAGUCGACAACAGGCUACUACGAUGAACAACGCAAUCAAGUGGUUGAUCUUGGCUUCUGCUGUCGCCAUGCUGAUCACAGGUGGUGACGCUCAGGUGACAUGCAUCGGCUGUUAUCCCAUUACGGGACCGUGUACUCCACGCCCCAUAACAUGUGCAACAGGCCAAGCCUGCAGAGUAGCACCAUACAUCAUAGGCCAGAUCUGUGCGGAUCCGUGAAUGUGACGACAGACAAACCCCCAACGCAAGAUGUCCCAAGAUGGACUUCUGCGACUUGGAAGGAUUUGUGGGGGUUGAAGAUCCAACGUGUCGUCUUGGUAGUUUAGUUUAGUUGAGAAGCAUUCAAAAAUGUUAAAAAAAAUAAAUAAAAAGUGAUCAUCAAAUGA